rnacentral:rRNA from 1 species
UGGUGGAGCGAUUUGUCUGGUUAAUUCCGAUAACGAACGAGACUCUAGCCUAUUAAAUAGUUCGCUGAUGUCCAAGCGUCGGCGGCAACUUCUUAGAGGGACAGGUGUCGUAUAGGCACACGAGAUUGAGCAAUAACA